rnacentral:rRNA from 1 species
GUAGGGAAUAUUGGGCAAUGGAGGCAACUCUGACCCAGCCAUGCCGCGUGUGUGAAGAAGGUCUUCGGAUUGUAAAGCACUUUAAGUUGGGAGGAAGGGCAUUAACCUAAUACGUUAGUGUUUUGACGUUACCGACAGAAUAAGCACCGGCUAACUUCGUGCCAGCAGCCGCGGUAAUACGAAGGGUGCAAGCGUUAAUCGGAAUUACUGGGCGUAAAGCGCGCGUAGGUGGUUCGUUAAGUUGGAUGUGAAAGCCCCGGGCUCAACCUGGGAACUGCAUCCAAAACUGGCGAGCUAGAGUACGGUAGAGGGUGGUGGAAUUUCCUGUGUAGCGGUGAAAUGCGUAGAUAUAGGAAGGAACACCAGUGGCGAAGGCGACCACCUGGACUGAUACUGACACUGAGGUGCGAAAGCGUGGGGAGCAAACAGGAUUAGAUACCCCGGUAGUCC